ACAUGUAUCUGAUCACGGCACACACAUGUACAACACGUACAACACAUAGAGUACUUCCAUUACCUUCUACCGCUGUCUCAGAGUGGUUUCCAAAUGUGGCAGCAAUAAGAGAAUGUUGAGGGGCUUUUAGUGAGCUGAAAAAGGGACAGACCAAAAAGAAAAGAAAAAAUGUUAUUGUCUCCAGGGCACUUUAAUCUCCAAUGUGGUUUUACUUUCAUUUCAUUGUUGAGAAAACUCCGCCUCCUAGCCUUUGCACACACUCCCCUUGUCUUUCAGGUUGUCUUGUUUUAAUGAUUACAUCCAGUAAUGUGUUUGUGCUGCAGGAAAAUGUGGUCUUCUUCAUUCGGAGGUGCGUCUUUUUUUCCAGAUCCACAGCCGUUAGCUCGGACUAACUCCGACGUCUUCAUUUACAGUAUCACUCUGGAGUUCAAACACGAUGAUCUUCCUGCUCCUGGAGCUGUGUGUUGACGGAGGAAACAACAGAGAAAUGAGGACAGAAACAUAGAUGUGAGUGUUGUGAUGAUUUAUUCCUUAUUCUGGCGCUCAGACACAGACACAGACUUUAUUGGAGUUGAGAUAUUGUGACAACAAUGUACACCACCGACGCACAAUUGCCCAGCAAAAACAUUCUCCCUAGUGCAUUCUGAAACAAAUACUCAUCUAGCAGUGAGUAAUCAGGUGUGUCUAUAAUCCUAAUUACAGUCACAUCUGCCAUUUAGUCACUCAUGAGGAGCCAGCCGCAGUGGAAUAAACAGCUCCAAGAAAUCUCAGUAAUCACUGUGCUGACAUUGGGUCCUGGACAAAGUCAACUCUGCUGCUGUGAUGUGGAGAAGCUAUGGUAUUGUGCAAAUUCAAUUUCAAUGUAAGGUUCAUGUGCAGCAUGCUCUUCUAACGCAGCUCAGUCUGUGUGUAAGAGUGGGGAAGUAUGCAAAUGAGUCUGCAUAGGAGUAGGAGCUGAUUGGUGGAGACCAGCAUGGCAGCUAAUCAAGUCACCUGCUCCAAAAGUCAGCAUGCAAUUGGCAACCGAUGGGAAUCAAUUCACCCUACAGUGAUGUCCUCCGUUCUCUUCAGGUAAACCUACAGUUCCUUUGAAUAUUUGAUUUGGUUGUUUUCAUAAAGACAGAAUAUUAAUUUAAUUUAGAAAAUAAAUAUGUAUACAUUAGUUUUACAAAUUCUACAACUGAACCUGCUUUUGUUGUGCUUUGAAACAUCUAUUGUGGCUUCUUGGAACUUGGCCUUCCACCUACAAGACAGAACAUGAAAUAACAUUUUUUUCAAUGAAAAUAAUGUAAUUUCAAAGUUCUGUAAAAUAACAAUUAGGAAAAAAAGAUAACUUAUUUAUCUAUAGGUUAUUUACCCUGACAAGAGAGUUGUACACCCAUUGGCUGAUGUAUUUGGCCCUCCCACUUCCUGCGUACUGUCCAUUAGGGUAUUACUCUUGCAACUGUAACAGUAAAAAAGAAGUAACACUAUAUUAAGUUGGAUGCCUUAAAUACUCCUCAUUUUUGUCCAGCAGCAGAUGUGACCACCACAUGGCUGAUAAGGCAAAGGCAUCAAACACUGACUCCACUGUGCUGCCACUC